GGGACGGCAGCCAAGUUGAAUUUCAGGGCUUUCAGAAUCCAACCAGGAGUGCAUAGGCCUAUCCACAUCUUCGACUGACAUGGAUAUCCAGUGAAUGUGGAACUGACCAAAUCUCAUUGUGUUGCCAGCUUUGGAGGCCAAAAAUCUGACCGAAGCAGUUGGCGUGACAGCAAUUUCUCGCCUGGUGUUGCACGGACUGAUGUAUGGUGACAGAUCGAGGAGUGGUCUUUGUUGGGGUGAGUGUUUGCGCGAGGUCAAAGGGUGAAACAGAUGCUUUACCUGCAGUACUGCAGCGGACAGGCCUGCUUCUCAGCGACAGCUGCUCCCGUUCAGGAAGACAU